UGAGCAAUCUGCCCUUCUCUUCGGAAUAAGCGUUGGAAACGACGUCUAAUGCCGAAUACGACCUCCUUUCGCAUGAUCGGAGGUGGAAAGCUCCGGCGGAGAAGGAUGAGCUCGCGGCCUAUCAGCUAGUUGGUGUGGGUAACGGCCCACCAAGGCGACGACGGGUAGCCGGCCUGAGAGGGUGACCGGCCACACUGGGACUGAGACACGGCCCAGACCUCCGUACGGGAGGCAGCGUAGGG
rnacentral:rRNA from 1 species